CAGGUCAGUGACCACGCAUUGCAAUUGGUUUCCUGAGUUACUAAGCAAGGCAAUAUCAUCAGCGAAUAACAAGGUGCUCAUCAUCGCACUGUUCGGCGCAGCUCUGCCCGCUACCAUCUCGGCUGCCCCACAAGCAGCUUCAAUCUGCCUGGAACCGUGCCUUGGCCGUGCCCCUGCUGUCUAUCGCCGAGUCACGCUAGCGCCCCCUACGCUUCCACAAGCGCCGCCUGCGACGAGCGUGAUCAGCCCUACCGCCAGGGAGCUGCCUGCGUCAGCAACAUCUGGCAGAUCGCCUAUAAAAGACCAACGCCUUCACGCGCCAACCUGUGGGCUCAGUGGCUGUGCCACAAUACAGUCCACUAAACUGCUGCUGUUAAACAUGCAGGUGCUCAUCAUCGCACUGAUCGGCGCAGCUCUGCCCGCUACCAUCUCGGCUGCCCCACAAGCAACUUCAAUCUGCCUGGAACCGUGCCUUGGCCGUGCCCCUGCUGUCUAUCGCCGAGUCACGCUAGCGCCCCCUACGCUUCCACUAGCGCCACCUGCGACGAGCGUGAUCAGCCCUACCACCAGGGAGCUGCCUGCGUCAGCAACAUCUGGCAGAUCGCCUAUAAAAGACCAACGCCUUCACGCGCCAACCUGUGGGCUCAGUGGCUGUGCCACAAUACAGUCCACUAAACUGCUGCUGUUUAACAUGCAGUUCGCUCCAUCAUGCACCAUAUGUGCUGGCCCCACUCCCUCGCCAUUCCCUGCGUACAGGGCAUUCCUUGCAAGUAACCCGUCCACGCAGCCGAACUACAACCUUCUCUGCAUCCUUCUUUUGCCGAUCAUCAAGCGACUGGAACGGCCUGCCCCGUCACAUAACCGAAAUCACCUGUUCAACGACGUUUGCUGAUAAGCUUAAUACUAAUAUUCUUCAUUGAACUCAUGUGGCCACCAAUUAAAAUGCACAUUUGUAAACCC